rnacentral:ribozyme from 1 species
GCCGCUCGAAACUUUGCACACCUCUUCGUGGUGAGCGGCAGGCAACGAUCUUACGGUCGGCUGAGAUGCAUGG